UUAGUACUCCCUCCGUCCGGAAAUACUUGUUGCAGAAAUGCAUAAAAGUGAAUGUAUCUAAAACUAAAAUACAUUUAGGUAUAUCCAUUCCUUUGACAAGUAUUUUCGGAUGGAGGGAGUACUAA
rfam:Triticum aestivum genome assembly, contig: Triticum_aestivum_CS42_TGACv1_scaffold_577656_7BL